AUAUGUAGCAAAACAGAAGUUGAGGGUGUCCACAACUUCUCCUCAGCUCACAGAAAAUUCCAAAGAUGGCUUUUCAAACCAGUGUUAACUUAAAUAUGGAUGGAUCUGUCUCCAUUAUAAAUAAGCUUAGUCAAAAAGUGUGAUGGCUUCUAACAGGAAAGGUGCUGAUUUCCAGCAGACCUCUGCAGUAGAAAUAAAUAGGGAUGUAAUAAAUGCAGAUUGGGAAAGCAGCAAUUGCACCUGUCUUCUCCAUUGCAGUAUAUCAUUUUUCUUAAAAUGAACAAGAAGCAUUGCCUCUGAUUUCUGAAAUACAGUCAAGUUGCAACAUGAUUUUUCCCAAACAGAUUUUAAACACAGAUAUUAUCAAUUGUUUUAAACAUGAACUCCUGAUGAUUGAGAUAGCCCUUCUGUUGUAAUUACAAAUGAUUAUUUCAACCAAGAGAAAAAAACGUAUCAGCAUGAAGGCUCUCUGUUUUCUGUGGAAACAUGUACAGUUAAGGCUGAGGCAAACUGCACCACCGCUCAAGUCCAAGGGUGAAAACUCUCAUGAAGCCACUGCUCCCCCACUGAUCCAUCAGUCCUGAGCUGCUCUGUGAGCCCUGCAAAACUCUGUCCAACGGUGAACAUGAAAACAAGACCGAUAGCUCUACUGGGAACCGAAAAACAGAAAACUCAAUAAAGAUAUUAGUCUGAUGGAACAAUAUAAUCUCUGCCCCUUGCUAAUCUUUCCAGGUUUCAUGGGCUAUAGGGGAACUGGCUCUCGUUUUCCUCCAAGAGAUAAGACACUUUUAUCGGAGCCUCUCCAUUUACCAGCAUUUCCACUAUGCUACAGGCAUCUGCCUAUAGUAUAUUUUUUUCUUUCAAAGAUACUCUAACUUGUAUACAUCCAGUUGAACUUUCAGCGAAUGUUCUUAGCUUCAGAAUCUACCUUCAUAAAGGGCAUUUGCACCCAAAAACAUACUUCUUUUUUCAAAUAUAGUAGCCAGCUUAACAAAAGAUGUGCUUAGCUGCCAGCAUGUUUUGACCAUCAGACAGUAUUGCCAACAAGAUUUCAGGCUGCGGAAGGUGAUGCCUUGAGGCAUGCAAGUUGAAGAAGUCGCAUGGUCAUCCAGACAGAUAUCCACAAUGUGGUUGCAGUUUCCUCAUUUACCAAAAAGCACACAACCACUCAGAGGAAAAGCUCCCAGUCACUAGAUUUGCAGUAGUUCAGACAGGCUUUCACAGCAAAAAAUGCUUUUUCCUAUUGCAGAGAACAUGAACUCCUCCAACGCUGUACACAGAAACAGAAUUUAAGAUAAACCAAAAAGAACUGAGAGAGCUAGCAAGAAAAAUCUACUGUUUUGAACUUCAUCUCUUGGGAAGGUUUGGGCUACUUUCAAACUUGCAGUAGUAAAACAGUGCAAUAAUCCUCCUUGGAUGUGUAAGGUGCAGCAGAAGCUCCAGAUGCCAGCACUCAUUUCCUGCUUCAUUGCAUAGGCGUUGCUUCAUUUCUUGUCGUUUAUGAAAUUUCCCCCCCUACAUUUUGAUGGUUUCCUCAUGACCAAGUCUUCAGAGGAGCUGGUAAAAAUGUUCUGACUCAAAAAGUCAUCCUCAUAAAAUGUGAAGUUUCAAAGAAAAUAAAUAAAUCAAUUUCCAUCCAAGAAAAUGUCACUUUUGACAGGAUGCACAGAAUUUCUAUUAACUCAAAAUACUUCUAAAUAAAUUCUAAGGACUUUCUGCUUUCAAAAGAUUGAAGAAUAGAAAAUUGGGUUGUUUGCUUUUUAUAUGUCUGUAGCUGGAUGGAAUCAAGAAAGGCCAGGAGGAGAAGGGGAAGCACAGACUAACUUCCCUCCCUCUCUCACCAUGAGUUUCAUGCAAAUCUUGACAGAAGCUAGAGGAGGAAAAUUAAUUACUGGCAACUUGUAACACUGAAAUUUCCACUAUUAACCGCUAUGAAGGCACAGAAUUAAAUGCAUCCUACUUACUACACUAUCCAUUUUCCAAAACUGGCACAGAAAAAAAAUUGAGUGUGAGCUUCUCUACAAUGAAAGGACACAGAAGAUAACAAGAAGGGGAUGCCUGGAGAGAGGAGAAAUGCCUCUUCCUUCAUUUCUCCUUUCCUGUCUGCAAACACACUUAGCAAGCAGCAGAGAUGCACCUAAGAGUACAACAGAAGACAUAAAUGCUGAAUUCCAACAGAGUUGUUGUGUCCUGGGCUAAUUCAAAAUGCAUGCGCACUUUGUGGCUCAUAGAUGUAUGACAUUGCCAUACACAGGGCAAAGAUACUGAAUGGUGCUGAUUCUUGAGGAUGGCCAGCAGAAAUCAGCUUUUCUCCAUGGCACAAAAUGGGAUUUUGUGACAUGCUGUUCCUGAGUAUGCUGUUUUACCAGAUGGCCACAGAUUGCCUCAGGAUCUGGAAUAAAAUGUUUCAAGACCACCAGGACAUUGCAUAGGAGCUCAAGGAAACCCUGGAGUAUCAGCAGGGGAUCCAACCUUCCUCGCUGCUGCCUACCUGAGAUUUUAGGCUC
ensembl:lncRNA